rnacentral:lncRNA from 1 species
AAAAAUAUAAAAAUCCUUUUUCUCCCACAUACACAUUCAGUAUUCAAUUUUCUCUCUCUAACCUUUACAUCUGUGGCAACAGAAAAGGAUAAAGAGCAACGAUAAUCAACAGGGAAUAGCGAUUGGAUGGAGAGACGGCGACUGCUCAUCGACAGUAAAGCAGUGGCGUUAAAACCGGCAUGAAGGGGAGUGGUUUUUGGGUAAGAUUGGCCGGAUCUGAGAGAGAUAAUGAUGACUGGCGACUUGGAGGGAGAUUUGGUCAGCGUUUAAGCCAUUGGGGGUGUCACUGGAAGCGUUGGCGAUUUCAUCGGUGUCUAUUACCAGUGUUUUUUAUGACGGAAAGGGAGAGAAAAGAGGGGCGCAGCUUUUGAUGAUGGUUUUCGAUGGUGGUGUGAUAAUUUUUUUGGUGAUUUCCCGAUCUAAUUUUGGAGAUGGAUAAUACAUUCCGUUGAGGAAAUAAUUCCGACAAGGAUGGUUUCGUAACUGAUUUCCCAUUUUUAUAUUUUUUCAUUGUUUUUAUUUUGGAUUCACUAAUUUUUUCUUUUCUCUACACUGGUUUUCUAUCAACUGUAUGUGUUUAUUACUAUGUUUAUGCAUACGUAUUGUUAUUCAUGUAUUUCUCCUCUGUAUUAUAUCAUUAUUCUAUGUGAAUCCAAAUAUGUGUGGUGUGUGCAAGAAUUAUAUUUGUGAUUUGACGAACAGAG